rnacentral:rRNA from 1 species
AGAACGAACGCUGGCGGCAUGCCUAACACAUGCAAGUCGAACGAGACCUUCGGGUCUAGUGGCGCACGGGUGCGUAACGCGUGGGAAUCUGCCCUUAGGUACGGAAUAACAGUGAGAAAUUACUGCUAAUACCGUAUGAUGUCUUCGGACCAAAGAUUUAUCGCCUAGGGAUGAGCCCGCGUUGGAUUAGCUAGUUGGUGGGGUAAAGGCCUACCAAGGCGACGAUCCAUAGCUGGUCUGAGAGGAUGAUCAGCCACACUGGGACUGAGACACGGCCCAGACUCCUACGGGAGGCAGCAGUGGGGAAUAUUGGACAAUGGGCGAAAGCCUGAUCCAGCAAUGCCGCGUGAGUGAAGAAGGCCUUAGGGUUGUAAAGCUCUUUUACCCGGGAAGAUAAUGACUGUACCGGGAGAAUAAGCCCCGGCUAACUCCGUGCCAGCAGCCGC